GUGAUUGCGACGAAUUAAGUUAAAAUGCGAGCGCUAGUAAUAUUGAUUGUGGUGGCGGCUGCUGCAGCUGAAGAUGGGGAGGAAUUGUCUCCAGACUACCAUAGGACAUCACCUGUGACUGCCAGCUCUGAGCCUAGGAGGGACCCUCCUGAAGGUCCAGGUCGUGAUAACUGGAGCUGUAAGGUCCACUAUGAUUGCAAGCACUACAAAGGGUUCUGCUUGAGGUCCGAGUACGCCUUCUGCGUCGAGAAAGCCUGCAAGUGCCUCCCCAGAAACACCCACAGUACUCACCAUCCCUACCACCAUGUUAGACAUAAAAACGUUAUUUAUUUAUAAUGUAUUCAUGUAUAUACUAAUUCUAUUUGAUCCAACUUCCGCUAAAAUAUACACGGUAGUAUUUGAGAUGGGCGGUGAUGGUCAAGUCGGAAACUACGAAAUUUAGAGGAAAUUCGUGAAAGGAGUCAUGCACUCGAUUUAUAAGAAACAAAUAACUGCAUAUUUAGUUUUUCAAAAUUUCUUAAACUUUUAACGGAAAUCCAUCCGAACGUUUUUUCAAAAAAAUUACAUUCUGUAUUAUCGGACCAAUGGACUCUUAUCUUCAAUCAUAUCAAAUCAAUAUUUGCAGAGAUAUAUAUUACCAAAACUUUACAAAUUGUUCUUCAUAUCUCACUUUUACCUAACUAAUCAGGUGCUCAAAAUGGUUUCUGUUCACUCCAAUGCAUAAGUAUAUACGCCUCUCUAAAGAUCUUACUGCAUUGGAUACCAUGACAGGCUUUAUCGGCGAUAGAAUAUCAACAAAAACCGUAAGAUUUCUAACAAAAAGUUUGAAUCAAACGUGAGUUUUCUUCCGUGUAAAAAUAAUAAAACAGAAAAUUUGGUACUCGCUUCGCUUUAAUUUUUAGUUACCUUUACCUUUACAAAGAUUGAUCCUUAUCAGGAACAGCGUCUAUUGGUGGUAAAAUCAUUCGGGUCCGUCAAAAGUUCAAGAAAUUAAAAAAAACUAAAUAUGCAGUUAUUGUUUUUUUUAUAAAUCGAGGGCAUGACUCCUUUCAUGACUUUUCUCUAAGUUCGUAGUUUCCGACUUGGCCAUCACCGCCCUUCUCAAAAAACCACCCUGUAUACAGUAGAUUAACCAAGUGAUAUUAAAAUUUAUAUUAACCGUUAUAUUGGCAAUAACAUAUAACUAGUAGCAAAGAGUUUAAAUAAUAUCUUAGCUAUAAAUUAUUUAUUUAUUUAUUUAGAUUCAUUAUUUAUUAAGAUUAGAGUAUGAAUAUAUUGUACUAAAUGAUGGUGUAAAUAAUGAUGUUUUGAUUCGAAAACACUAAUCAUAUUGAAAAGUAUAAUAUGUAAUGUUGUAUUAUUUAUUUGUAUAUUUUUAAUUGUUAUAUGUAUCUCAUGUAUUAAAAAAAGAAUAAUUAAC